GUGCUGCAAGAAUUUUCAGGCGAUCAUCACUUUUGUCCUGACACAAUUCUCAUCUUUGAAUAGGUGUCUUCACAAUGGGGGUUUGUAAUCCGUGUAAAUUAAUCAAAGCGUGAUUAAGUGUACAGGGUAUCUUGAUACCCUUGAAAACGGCAUCUGAAGAAUGCUGAAUUUUUUGCUGAAUUUCUUAAUGCUACUGCUUGGUUCAUGAAUGGUCCAGCUGUGUUCUCAAAGAUCAAAAUUUCUGUAUGAUUUUUGUGGUCCCCUCUCCCUUGGAAUUGGAAGCAAUCAAAUUUCCAAGAAGAGUAGCUGUUCCCCUAAUGCUGAAGUUGCCCUACUUAUAUGAACAAAUACUUAUAUGAACAAAGGGAUAGGAAUGACAUAUAAGCAAAUAAUGCUCUUGGAGUCGUGCUUGGUGCGAACAAUAUAGACAUGGAUAAUGAUGUACAAAAUUGACCUUAAAACUAUUUUAUUGUGAAAUAUCUUUAUAGGUUAUAUGUAAAUAGUGAAGAAUAUGCUUUGAAACAUUUGAUGCGUCUAUUUAAAGAAUAUAAAACUCUACUAUGAGAUUUUUUUACUUUUUGACAAA